rnacentral:rRNA from 1 species
UGGGGAAUAUUGGACAAUGGAGGAAACUCUGAUCCAGCAAUUCUGUGUGUGUGAAGAAGGUUUUAGGACUGUAAAACACUUUUAGUAGGGUAGAAAAAAAUGACGGUACCUACAGAAGAAGCAACGGCUAAAUACGUGCCAGCAGCCGCGGUAAUACGUAUGUUGCGAGCGUUAUCCGGAAUUAUUGGGCUUAAAGGGCAUCUAGGCGGUAAGACAAGUUGAAGGUGAAAACCUGUGGCUCAACCAUAGGCUUGCCUACAAAACUGUUGAACUAGAGUACUGGAAAGGUGGGUGGAACUACACGAGUAGAGGUGAAAAUCGUAGAUAUGUGUAGGAAUGCCGAUGAUGAAGAUAACUCACUGGACAGAAACUGACGCUGAAGUGCGAAAGCUAGGGGAGCAAACAGG